AGGGUUUGAUCAUGGCUCAGAACGUACGCUGGCGGCACGCCUAACACAUGCAAGUCGAACGCAGUAGCAAUACUGAGUGGCAGACGGGUGAGUAACAUGUGGGAAUCUGCCUUGUGGUUCAGGACAACAUUGGGAAACCGAUGCUAAUACUGGAUAAGCCCUUACGGGGAAAGUUUUAAUGCCAUAAGAUGAGCCCGCAUUUGAUUAGUUAGUUGGUGAGGUAAUGGCUCACCAAGACAAUGAUCAAUAGCUGAUCUGAGAGGAUGAUCAGCCACACUGGGACUGAGACACGGCCCAGACUCCUACGGGAGGCAGCAGUGGGGAAUCUUGCACAAUGGAGGAAACUCUGAUGCAGCGAUGCCGCGUGAGUGAAGAAGGCCUUUGGGUUGUAAAGCUCUUUUGUAGGGGAAGAUAAUGACUGUACCCUAAGAAUAAGGUCCGGCUAACUUCGUGCCAGCAGCCGCGGUAAUACGAAGGGACCUAGCGUAGUUCGGAAUUACUGGGCGUAAAGCGCGCGUAGGCCGUUGAGUUAGUUAAUUGUGAAAUCCCAAAGCUUAACUUUGGAACUGCAAUUAAAACUGCUCGACUAGAGUUUGAUAGAGGAAAGCGGAAUACAUAGUGUAGAGGUGAAAUUCGUAGAUAUUAUGUAGAACACCAGUUGCGAAGGCGGCUUUCUGGGUCAACACUGACGCUGAGGCGCGAAAGUAUGGGUAGCAAAGAGGAUUAGAUACCCUCGUAGUCCAUACCAUAAACGAUGAUUGCUAGAUGUUGGAAAUUUAUUUUCAGUAUCGCAGCUAACGCAUUAAGCAAUCCGCCUGGGGAGUACGACCGCAAGGUUAAAACUCAAAUGAAUUGACGGGGACCCGCACAAGCGGUGGAGCAUGUGGUUUAAUUCGAAGCAACGCGAAGAACCUUACCUGGGUUUGACAUCCUCUGACAUCCGUAGAGAUACGGCCUUCGUAGCAAUACGACAGAGAGACAGGUGCUGCAUGGCUGUCGUCAGCUCGUGUCGUGAGAUGUUGCGUUAAGUCGCGCAACGAGCGCAACCCCUGUCCUUAGUUGCCACCAUUCAGUUGGGCACUCUAGGGAGACAAACCCUCUUUGAGGGUGGGAAGGUGGGGAUGACGUCAAGUCAGGAUGGCCCUUACGGCCAGGGCUGCACACGUACUACAAUGCCCGGUACAGAGGGAAGCAAUACCGCGAGGUGGAGCAAAUCCUCAAAACCGGGCCCAGUUCAGAUUGUAGUCUGCAACUCGACUACAUGAAGUUGGAAUCGCUAGUAAUCGUAGAUCAGCGUGCUACGGUGAAUACGUUCCCGGGUCUUGUACACACCGCCCGUCACACCAUG
rnacentral:rRNA from 1 species